GCAUCGUUAACGACGAGCUGUUUGUGCGCGGGGCCAGCGCCGAGGAGCUGCGCAAAGCCUUCGCUCUGCCGGCGCCCACGCCCUCCUCCAGCCCCGUGCCCACGCUGACGGCCGAGCAGCAGGAGAUGCUGGCGGCCUUCGCCAUGCAGUCGGGCAUGAACCUCGAGUGGUCCCAGAAGUGCCUCCAGGACAACGACUGGGAUUACGGCCAGGCCGGCCAGGUUUUCACCCAGCUCAAGCUGGAAGGGAAGAUUCCAGAUGUCGCGUUUCUCAAGUGAACGUUGGAGAUCCCCGCCCCCUCCCCGGGCCCCUCCCGUGUUCCGUUCCCGCCGCAGCCCCGAGUUUUGUAAAUAAAUCGAUCGAUUAUUGAUUAUUGA